UACAGAGGGUGCAAGCGUUGUUCGGAAUUAUUGGGCGUAAAGCGCGUGUAGGCGGCUUUGCAAGUCGGGUGUGAAAGCCCUCAGCUCAACUGAGGAAGUGCGCCCGAAACUGCAUGGCUUGAGUACCGGAGAGGAUGGUGGAAUUCCCCAAGUAGAGGUGAAAUUCGUAGAUAUGGGGAGGAACACCGGUGGCGAAGGCGACCAUCUGGACGGAUACUGACGCUGAGACGCGAAAGCGUGGGUAGCAAACAGG
rnacentral:rRNA from 1 species